rnacentral:rRNA from 1 species
AUUGAACGCUGGCGGCAUGCCUUACACAUGCAAGUCGAACGGCAGCACGGGAGCAAUCCUGGUGGCGAGUGGCGAACGGGUGAGUAAUAUAUCGGAACGUGCCCAGUCGUGGGGAUAACGUAGCGAAAGCUACGCUAAUACCGCAUACGAUCUAUGGAUGAAAGCGGGGGAUCGCAAGACCUCGCGCGAUUGGAGCGGCCGAUAUCAGAUUAGGUAGUUGGUGAGGUAAAGGCUCACCAAGCCGACGAUCUGUAGCUGGUCUGAGAGGACGACCAGCCACACUGGGACUGAGACACGGCCCAGACUCCUACGGGAGGCAGCAGUGGGGAAUUUUGGACAAUGGGCGCAAGCCUGAUCCAGCAAUGCCGCGUGCAGGAUGAAGGCCCUACGGGUUGUAAACUGCUUUUGUACGGAACGAAAGGUUUCUAUUAAUACUAGGAGCUCAUGACGGUACCGUAAGAAUAA